UAGAAGCACCCGUGGGCUCCUCUCCUCAGUCUGCAGCAAGGGGUUGCCCGCAGGGAGACAUUGAGUCCCAGCACUCGUCCUCUAGGAAUAAGGGCUGGGGGCAGCUCACUGCUGCGCCGGGGAGCAGACACAUGGGAAGGAAGGAAGGAAGGAAGGAAGGAAGUGUUGGGAUGCCUUCUGCACAGCGCUACUAAUUUGUCUUGAAGAAGAGGCUGCUCCGGACAGCCUGGAGAGCAGCCGGGCUGCUUCUGCUGUGUGCAGCAGGGACUGAGGCGGGGCAGCCACCUCCUGCUGACAGCUGCCUGCCGUGCGCAUUUGCCGUGUGCUCACAUGGAACAGAAACAAGGCAUAAAGAACAGAGCUUCCUGAGGAGAAAAAAAAAAAAUAAAGCCCAAAUCCCAAAGCGA